UUGUUUUCAUCCUUUGAAAUCCAGAAACAAAUCUCAUACUCGAGCUAAUUCCUUCCUUCUCCUUCUCUGGUUCUCCUCUGCCGAUGGAACCCUAAAUUUGUCAAAUCUUCUCAUUUCAUCUCUCUAUUAAGAACCAGAAACAAAAACCAUUUUCUUCUUGUAACCUUAUACAUCUCUCCAAAUCCAUUUGCUUAUUACCGAAAUGGAUUAAAAUGAACCUUAAAACCACCACCAUGAACCAAAAGAAAAACACUGUCAUUAAAAUCCCUUCUUUUGAACCGUUUCUUUGAAACCCUUACCUUACAGAAAAACCCAUUUUUCUAUUAAUUUCAUGUUUGAAAGAAACCCAUCUUCCUUUUCUCUUCUCCAUUUCCUUUUCGUGCUAGCUGUUAGGGGUUUGAUUUUCUACAAACUUUAUCAGCAAUUGCUAGAAAAGCAUUCAGCAUCUUAACCUGCAUUUUUGAAGAUUUUCAGCCUUCGGUUUUAGUAGGCUUGUAUCGAUAAUUUUGGGUUUUGUAUGAAUAAUUUUUGGUGUAUAUGAUGAAAUAAAAUGAAGAACCAUUGGUGAUGGCAAAUGGGUGUUUUGAAGAAACCUUUGGUGGUGGUGGAGGUUUUAUGGACUGAACUGGCGGUGGUGAUUGGAUGCUUGGAGAUGGAAUCAAUGAGUUCGAUUAAACGUUGGCGGUGAUGAUAACUAGUUCGCUGCUAGUAGUGGAGGUUGUAUGUACUGAACUGGUGGUGGUGAAUGGGUGUUUGGAGAGGAAGAGCAAGGUUCAAAAAGAUUCGGAAGCGUCUAUUUAUGAUGUCUGGAAGGGAAAUUGAUGAUGGUUAUGGAACUACCCUGGUUCUACUGUUCUUUUUUUCAAGAAAAUGUUGGCAGUAUUUAAUGUUUGGGCUGUAUAUAAUAACCCAAAACAGAGAAGCAGGAAGAAACACAUGUAUACCUACAAUAGACAUUGCAGAUGUAUUAUUUCAACAGCUACAAGUUUUCCUUUUCAAUAUUAAAUUAUAUCCCAAGACUGUCGAAUGGUAUUUUAAAUUCUAAGAAACAAUUGCAUAUGUUUAACUAGUUUACUUGCUAUCACUUUUAGUUUCUUUACCGAGAAAAUAGUUUCUUUUCCAAAUUGUAAAGAAUUAGGUACCCUCUUUGAUGGUGGAAAAUUUCAACACCUGGUUUAAUCAUGUACCCUCUCUGAUCACCAUGAAGUAAUGGCUGCUUAGUGUGAAGAAGUAUGUCUCUUGGCUCUGUUGAGGGGCUACCAUUUUAUCCAUCACAUUUACAUAGUUUUGUGUUUGUUUUAAUUUGGGGAAAGUACUUGCUGUUACUGGAUUGUGCAGAUCCGAAAGUUGUUGAUCUUGAAGUUGCAAGGCCGCAAGCUGAAUCUAAAGUGAUGACUGCAGAUAAUAGAAUGUAACUUUGGAUGGCUCCUGAGGUAAACAUUUUUAGUGUUUGUUGUAGGUGUGAUGUUCUGGAAUUUUAGCUCAGUUCAUCAUCCGGCAGGAUCUCGUUUUUGCUGGUUUGAAGUUGUCUCGACUGAUUAUUAUGAUAGAUGUGUGAAUACUUUCUCAUCUGAAGGGAGAUUAUUUCAAGUUUAAGCUAUUAAGCUUGGAUCUACUGCGAUAGGCUUGAAAAGUAAAGGUGUAGUGGUUGUUGUUGAGAAGAGUAUCACUUCUCCACUACUGCUUAGUUUUUCUCCAAACCACUUUCUCCUUCACAAGCUAGUAUAUACAAUUUUCUCUAAAUCGUACUUGUCUGAUUUUGCGUUAGCUUAUGAAGUUUAUAGAGUUUUGUUUGAUCUGGACUUGUAGGUAAGGGCUUUAGUUGCUGAAAUGAUGUUCAUCUAUGAAUUAAUGAUCUAAGACUACUGUUGUAAAGUGUAGUACCGAUAAGUGUAACGCUUCUAUUACUUUGAGCCAGUUGAUCAAGUUUUUCAUGGACAAUUUCCUGCACAAAUUGAUCGAUGAAAUUGAGUCAGGUAGUGUGCUGGGGAAGGCCUCUGUAUGCAAAUAUUUAAAAGUUCAGUCAGUUCCAGCCCACAGUUGAUGUUGCUGCUCUUCCCGAUGGUCUCAUGAGGGGCACUGAUGCCAUGAUUGUUGGAAAGAUCGCUGUUGUUGCUGGAUAAGGAGAUGUUGGAAAGGGUUGUGCUUCUGCAGUUCUGCUCUCAAGCUAGCUGGUGCCCAGGUGAUGAUCACUGAAAUUGAUGUUGAAACUUUUAGGAGUUGUAGUACUUCUCUUUAAGAAAGCUGGAACUUAUGAAUUAGAAGUUGAAUCCUUUUGUAUGAUUUUGAUUUAAAUUUAUGAGUACAAUUUUUAGUGUAAUGGAAUUGUCAUUUUGUAUGGAUGAAUAA